AAUGAACAGGAGGUGAAGAAAGAGAACCCAGAGUCAGGAUUGGCGGUUAGAAGCUAAGGCUCUGGGGUGAACUGGUUUCCACUGAAGCCCACCUCUGCUGCUUUACAGCUGCGUGCCCAACUUCCUGGCUUCUUUGAGCCUCCCUCGCCAUCUACAAAUUGGGCCUGACAGUGACUUUCUACCUGACAGCAUUUUUUUUUAAGAUUUAUUUUUUUAUUUUUGGUUGCAUGGGGCUUUGCUGCAGCACAGGCUUGGCUACUCUCCAGCUGCCGCGUGUGGGUGUCUCACUGCGGCGGCUUCUCUCAUUGCGGAGCACAGGUUCCAGGUGCACUCGGGCUCAGCAGUUGUGGCGCAUGGGCUUAGUUGCCCUGCAGCACGUGGGAUCUUCCCAGACCAAGGAUUAAACCUGAGUCUCCUGCAUUGGCAGGCAGACUGUUAACCACUGGACUAGCAACGAAGUCUCUGACAGCAUGGUUUUGAGGAUUAAAUGCACCAAGCAGUGUUUAAAUUAAAUUAAAUGUGCCAAGGAAUUCUAGACACCAGGGAAGAAGCUCAGCUGAUGACAGCACCCCCAACGGAGAGUGGAAUGCACUUAAAUCCAGUCGUGGAAAACAUUAACACACACAGCAGGCUCUGGAUCUGCUAGAAGGCUCCAGAAGGGGUUUCUCAUGGCUGCCUGGCUGGGAGGUCCAGGACAGUGGUUUUCCAGGUUUCAGAGGACCACAUGCAUCUUAACCGCUUGGGAGCUUGUUAGAAAUGUGUAUCCCUGGGCCCCGCCCUCAGUAAGUCUCUCAGUUUGAGAACCACUGGGGCUGUAAGGCUCAGAAGCUCUCCAGCUCAGUAGGCGACAGACAACACAGAGACUGAUCUGAGGGGACCAGCUCUCAGCUCGUUCGGGCAUUCUCUCCAGGUUCAUCCCUGUGACUUGCAGGACUCAAAUGUGACACCUCAGACCUCUCCCCCUCCACCUGGACAUUCCCACACUCUCAGCCUACCUGGUCAGCGGCCAGAGCUCCAGCUGCCCCCUCAGUUCAAGGCCAGGGUGUACGGAAGGUUCCAGGAGCCCAGGUAGGAUGAGUCAUUCUCCUGGGGAAGCCCUCUGCCUGGCGGGUGCCCCCAGGGUGCCUCUGGCCCCACCUGCAGCACUCCCACCCUGAGAAGGGACUGACCUAUCUGACUGUGUGGCUGAGAAGAAAGAAGAGCAGCAAGUGUCUCCAUCCCCUUUGGUCAUUGUCCCCUCUGCCAUCCCU
ensembl:lncRNA